ACGGGGGGGGCAAGCGUUGUUCGGAAUUACUGGGCGUAAAGGGCGCGUAGGCGGUUCGCUAAGUUGAAUGUGAAAACUCUGGGCUUAACCCAGAGCCUGCAUUCAAUACUGGCGGGCUAGAGUUCUGGAGGGGAUAGCGGAAUUCCUGGUGUAGCGGUGAAAUGCGCAGAUAUCAGGAAGAACACCAAUGGCGAAGGCAGCUCUCUGGGACGGUACUGACGCU
rnacentral:rRNA from 1 species